CAAAAUGAGAGCCCAACUGUCUCUUAUAACAAAUCAAUUAAACUGAUCUCCUAGUACAAAAGCUAGAAUAUCAACAUAAGACCAGAAGACCCUGUGAAGCUUUAACUAACCUAUUAAACCCAAUAAUAGCUACUUUCGGUUGGGGCGACCUUGGAAUAAAAAAGAACUUCCAACAAUAUGACUUCUCAUAAAAUAGGCAGACAAGCCAACACUAGACCCAGUAUUACUGAUAAUUGAAAUAAGUUACUCCAGGGAUAACAGCGCUAUCUUCUUUAAGAGCCCAUAUCAAAAAGAAGGUUUACGACCUCGAUGUUGGAUCAGGGCACCCCAGUAAUGCACCCGUUACUAAAGGUUCGUUUGUUCAACGAUCAACAGCCCUACGUGAUCUGA
rnacentral:rRNA from 1 species